CCUACGGGAGGCAGCAGUGGGGAAUAUUGGGCAAUGGAGGAAACUCUGACCCAGCGACGCCGCGUGAGGGAUGAAGGCCUUCGGGUUGUAAACCUCUUUCAGUAGGGAAGAAGCGAAAGUGACGGUACCUACAGAAGAAGCACCGGCUAACUAUGUGCCAGCAGCCGCGGUAAUACAUAGGGUGCAAGCGUUGUCCGGAAUUAUUGGGCGUAAAGAGCUCGUAGGUGGUUCGAUACGUCGGAUGUGAAAAUCAGGGGCUCAACCCCUGACCUGCAUCCGAUACGGUCGAGCUAGAGUUUGGUAGGGGAGACUGGAAUUCCUGGUGUAGCGGUGGAAUGCGCAGAUAUCAGGAGGAACACCGAUGGCGAAGGCAGGUCUCUGGGCCAAUACUGACACUGAGGAGCGAAAGCGUGGGGAGCGAACAGGAUUAGAUACCCUGGUAGUCCACGCCGUAAACGGUGGGCGCUAGUUGUGCGAACCUUCCACGGUUUGUGCGACGCAGCUAACGCAUUAAGCGCCCCGCCUGGGGAGUACGANCGCAGAUAAACUACAAUAGAGUAGACGCGNGAGACGUGACGACGACGACGACGAGGGAGAGG
rnacentral:rRNA from 1 species